GGGGUUGUGGCUCAGUGGUAGAGUGCUCACCUAGUAUGUGUGAGGCACGGGGUUCAAUCCUCAGCACCGCA
rnacentral:tRNA from 1 species